rnacentral:rRNA from 1 species
CUGGUCUGAGAGGAUGAUCAGUCACACUGGAACUGAGACACGGCUCCAGACUCCUACGGGAGGCAGCAGUGGGGAAUAUUGGACAAUGGGCGAAAGCCUGAUCCAGCCAUGCCGCGUGUGUGAAGAAGGUCUUCGGAUUGUAAAGCACUUUAAGUUGGGAGGAAGGGCAGUAAGUUAAUACCUUGCUGUUUUGACGUUACCGACAGAAUAAGCACCGGCUAACUUGGGUGCCAGCAGCCGCGGUAAU